rnacentral:rRNA from 1 species
AGUGAACGCUGGCGGUAGGCCUAACACAUGCAAGUCGAACGGCAGCACAGUAAGAGCUUGCUCUUACGGGUGGCGAGUGGCGGACGGGUGAGGAAUACAUCGGAAUCUACUUUUUCGUGGGGGAUAACGUAGGGAAACUUACGCUAAUACCGCAUACGACCUACGGGUGAAAGCAGGGGAUCUUCGGACCUUGCGCGAUUGAAUGAGCCGAUGUCGGAUUAGCUAGUUGGCGGGGUAAAGGCCCACCAAGGCGACGAUCCGUAGCUGGUCUGAGAGGAUGAUCGCCCACACUGGAACUGAGACACGGUCCAGACUCCUACGGGAGGCAGCAGUGGGGAAUAUUGGACAAUGGGCGCAAGCCUGAUCCAGCCAUACCGCGUGGGUGAAGAAGGCCUUCGGGUUGUAAAGCCCCUUUGUUGGGAAAGAAAAGCAGCAGGUUAAUACCCCGCUGUUCUGACGGUACCCAAAGAAUAAGCACCGGCUAACUUCGUG